UAUCACAUUGAAACACAGGUUCCUGUAUGAUCACUGAAGUUAAGCAACACUGAGCCUGACCAGUACCUAGAUGAGUGACCACUUGAGAAUACUAGGUACUGUAA